UAUCCCUAUGAAGAACGACAUAUGUCCAAAUUAAAGUAGUGGACUGAUAUAUACAUGAUGAUUAAUCACUCUGAGGGAUU